GUGCAUGCAAAACGAACUACAAAUACAUUGAAUAUUGCGUCAGCAGUGGGAGAAUGCACUUGCAUGCAAAUGACCUUUGCGCAUCCUUAGGCCACUGACACUAUCGGCUGUUCUUCCUUUGGCUACGCCACGUGCUCGAUAAGUGCAAUGCGUCACAUACCUAAAACGACACGUUUAGACACGCAGAUUUGGCGAACCAAAUUUAAAAGCUCGUUUCGAAUGCGCUGCAUAACUUACGCGUCACAGCAACAACACUGAACGAUCAUUCACUACGCGAUUUUUAAGUGUUUUCUUUGUAUACCUGAAUGUGCAUGUGAGUGUGUGUGUGUCUAAAUAUAACAAAGCUUUUCAAAACCAAUUUAUACGCAUACAUGCAUACAUAAAUACACAUGUAAAUACAUGCAUGCAUCUAUUGCAGUAAGACAAAUUUGCAUUGGUUUGUUUUUGAGUAAAGCUUUUUUACUUUAAGAUUACAACUUUGUCAUUUUUAAAUUAAUUUAUCGAACCACUUUUUAAUCGGAAAGGUGGACGAUAGCUGGUGAUAAGGAAAUUUACGCAAUUAACGUAUGAAGAUUUCUUUACAAUUUUAACUUCUAUAGAAAUGCAAUGUUUGCAAGAAUUAUAAAUUCAUGUGUAUGGUAUUUGUCUUCAUCUUUAUCUUAUUGCUGAUAAGAACAGCUCAUUCAGAGUAUAUGACUAAAGCUUAAUGAAUAUGACAGAUUGCAUAAGUCCAAUACAAUCAUCUUCAUCUGGUAGCGCACAGAACGCGCAGAUGAUACGUCCGCUCGGCUCAAGCGCGCAAUUCGGAAUAAACACGUUUGCAAUCGUCGCUCUUUAAUUAAAUGCCAAUUAACGUGUGACAACAAAAGUGGAUGGAAACACAUAAAAAACAACAUAUAACAAAUAUGUAUAUAAACUAAGCGCAAGCCGAAGAUCACCAGCAGCAACAAUUCACGAAUGACACAAGUUCUGCCGAUAAGAGCAUCGAUAGGCAACUACUGACUGAAUGUUAUCAGCUGGCAGGAGAGACUACCCGAAAGAGAGAGGCAAAUACUCUCUUUGAAAAAGAAGCAACGCGACUAGCGAGUAAAACUGAGAGCCACACAUGACGUAGCGGAGAGAGCGGCCAAGAUUAUGUAGCAUUCCGAGGCGGCACGAAUAACGCUCUCUUUUUGAAGAUAAGCGCCGCCAUGAGAGGGGAUGGAGGGGGCGAGCCAGUGAGCGGUAGACACGCGGCAUCAAUAAGAGCAACAAUUGAAAUUGCCUAAGACUAAAUAGUUUAAUUAGAUAUUACUUUCGCACUGUAUUAUGAAUAAAAUUCAUACAACUUUUGUUAUUUAUUAUAUAAAAAGAGUUUUGUAGUCGGCUAUUAUGU